UCAACCACGGGCUCACUGUGUGACCUCAGGCAAGUCACCUCCCCUCUCCUGGCCUGGGUUUCUGCACCUGCAAAAUGGAUACGAUAACCUCGAUUGCCUCGCAUCUGUGGUGUGAGGGCCAAAUGAGAAAAUGUGAGAAGCUGGUUGCAAAGCGGUAAAAAAUCUUCAGCACCGAAGCUGGGGAGGAAGCAGCUGAGGAAGCUAUUGCUGAGCAGUGUUCGGACCCCACCCCAGCGAAUGGGCUUUUGAAGAGGGGCCAAGGGGAACGCACACGGGGAAAUGGCCUUCUUCUUCCCUCCGUGGUAGGGGCUGUGCUCACGUAUCUGUGAACUGGAGCUAUUUUUAUGUGGUACAACUGCGAUUAUGACAGGGCCUCUUCCUGCAGGGGAAGGGUGGGGAGGAGACUUGAGUCAUCAGCGGGCUGGUCGGGCCCCACAGGCUGACACAAGGCUGCGUGUGGAAAUCAGGCCCGUCUCCCAAAAAGACUCCAGGACUCUGACUCCCUCAGGUGGAGGCCCCAGUUGGCCUGGGUCGGUCAUUGGGCUCACGGCCUGUCAAUCACUGGGAGCGCCCAAUGAGCUGUGCCCUGGCCCUCCAGAAAGAACAGGGUUGGGUGGCUGCAACUAUUGGGCACUUACUGUGUGCCCCACGCUGUGUUUAGAGGCCUUACAUGUCCCGUUUUACUGGAUUCUUCCAACCUCCCUGCACCCCCAAGGUCGAGAAGAUUCACCUCUGUUUUCUAGAUAAGGCAUUGAGCUUCUUGAGACUCCUGACUGGACUGUGAAUCCCGGGCCUAGGGAGCCAACAGGAAGAGUGAUUAUUUUCUUUACUGGAAUGCCAGGGAAAGGCUUCCCAGAGAAGGUGACAUCUGAGCUGGGUCCUAAACAAUGAGCAGGAUUUAACUCUCUUAAGGCGGGGGAGAAGGGAAGGCAUAUGACUUGUGGCACUGAGGGAUACAGCCCAGGCAAAGGCCUGGAGGCCCAUCCCUCUCUGAGGCCUCCUCCAUGCCAGCACAUGUGGAUAUAGUACUCCUUCCAUCCUCACAGCCACCUGCAAGAAACCGAAACCAAAAGUCCUGGCAGCAGUUCAUGUGCAAGACGGGUCUGCGGCAAGAUGCUGGGGGGCAAAGCCACUGCAUCUGAGCACAGCAGCCUUGUCCAGACACCCCAGCCGCAGCUCUGGCGUCUCCUAGACCAGGCCUUGCCCAUCAGGCUGACGGGAAACUUGCAAGGCAAGAGUGUGUUUUUUUCUGAGGAUUCAAAAGGCCCCAACAGACCUCACAGUGCCCAGCACUGGUGUUAGGACCCUUGCUGGAAAAGGGAGGUGGCACUAACUCAAGCCACCAAAUCAUCUAACAGCCCAAGAGUGGGUGACCCUUUGUCUUGGCUAGCGUCUGUGACUGUAUGGGCGUGCACACACCCAUGACACUCGGGGCAGGGGGCAUCUGUGUGCCCAGCAUAAGAGGGACUCUGUUUCCCCAGGUCAGAUGAUGGAGUAACAGAUUUUUGUGACCCAUCUGGCUUUGAAAGAUCAUUUAAGUGCCACAAUAUUGGAUUCUUUGGGGCACUUGAUAGUCUAUUA